GAUGAACGCUGGCGGCGUGCUUAACACAUGCAAGUCGAACGGUGAACGAGGGAGCUUGCUCCCUCCGGAUCAGUGGCGAACGGGUGAGUAACACGUGAGCAAUCUGCCCUGGACUCUGGGAUAAGCGUUGGAAACGACGUAUAAUACCGGAUACGAGACGCGAAGGAAUAUUCAGCGUCUGGAAAGAACUUCGGUCCAGGAUGAGCGUGCGGCCUAUCAGGUAGUUGGUGAGGUAACGGCUCACCAAGCGUACGAAGGGUAGCCGGCCUGGGAUGGGUACCGGCGACAAUGGGACUGAGACACGGCCCAGACUCCUACGGGAGGCAGCAGAGGUGAAUAUUGCACAAUGGGCGCAAGCCUGAUGCAUCAACUCCGCGUGAGGGACGACGGCCUUCGAGUUGUAGACCUCUUUUAGCAGGGAAGAAGCGAAAGUGACGGUACCUGCAGAAAAAGCACCGGCUAACUACGUGCCAGCCGCCGCCGUAAUAC
rnacentral:rRNA from 1 species